rnacentral:rRNA from 1 species
GAUGGAAAUAUAUAUUUCUUAGCGGCGGACGGGUGAGUAACGCGUGAGGAACCUGCCUUGUACUAGGGGAUAGCCUCGGGAAACCGGGAUUAAUACCCUAUGAUACUUGAGGAUCGCAUGAUUUUCAAGUCAAAGCGAUUAAGCGGUAUAAGAUGGACUCGCGUCCCAUUAGCUAGUUGGUGAGGUAAUAGCUCACCAAGGCGACGAUGGGUAGCCGGCCUGAGAGGGUGAACGGCCACACUGGAACUGAGACACGGUCCAGACUCCUACGGGAGGCAGCAGUGGGGAAUAUUGCACAAUGGAGGGAACUCUGAUGCAGCGACGCCGCGUGAGCGAUGAAGGUUUUCGGAUCGUAAAGCUCUGUCCUAAGGGACGAUAAUGACGGUACCUUAGGAGGAAGCCCCGGCUAACUACGUGCCAGCAGCCGCGGUAAUACGUAGGGGGCGAGCGUUGUCCGGAUUUAUUGGGCGUAAAGGGUGCGUAGGCGGCCUUGUAAGUCAGAUGUGAAAUCUCACGGCUUAACCGUGGUAAGCAUUUGAAACUGUGAGGCUUGAGUACAGGAGAGGAGAGUGGAAUUCCUAGUGUAGCGGUGAAAUGCGUAGAUAUUAGGAGGAAUACCAGUGGCGAAGGCGACUCUCUGGACUGUAACUGACGCUGAGGCACGAAAGCGU